GACGUAACGCGUGGCGGCGCGCCUAACACAUGCAAGUCGAACGAGCGAGAGAGAGCUUGCUUUCUCGAGCGAGUGGCGAACGGGUGAGUAACGCGUGAGGAACCUGCCUCAAAGAGGGGACAACAGUUGGGAAACGACUGCUAAUACCGCAUAAGCCCACGACCCGGCACUCGGGUUGAGGGAAAAGGAGCAAUCCGCUUUGAGAUGGCCUCGCGUCCGGUUAGCUAGUUGGUGAGGUAACGGCCCACCAAGGCAACGAUCGGUAGCCGGACUGAGAGGUUGACCGGCCACAUUGGGACUGAGACACGGCCCAG
rnacentral:rRNA from 1 species